rnacentral:lncRNA from 1 species
CCUGCUGUUUGAUAAAGGAAAUUGCAUACUCCAAGAGCUCUGCAUCACAUGACAACGUAAGAGGCCCUUUGCUUGGCAAUCUAAACUCAUCUUCCGCCAUAUUGAAUAGCUCUAUUAUAAUUUCAUUGUUAAGAUACUCCAAAGGAAGUAAAAAUCGUUUCUGAUCAGCAGAGUACACAACAAAAUGACCCUUCUCAGCCAUUUCUAGCGUGCCAUAACUUCUCGUUUCUCUAAUGGUUUGUGAAGGGAUGAUUCUUUUUCGCCUUAAAGCAGCUAGCAUCUCCCAUUUUCGUGCCGAGUUGAGGAGUCUCUUGGUGCUGAUCAUCCUGCUACUAAAAGGAAGAAUUCCAAGGGAAAAUUGUGAGGUGGUAGAGAUAGCAGCACUUCAGAAUUUAAUGUUGCUAAUGUUUUAUCUUUUGAUUUGGAUAGAGGGCAAAGGAAAUGAUCUGAAUAUAUAAACGCCGGGACCACAAGUAAAGUCACUUUCAUGGAGCUCCAAACCAUGUGAUUGGUGCAUAUGAGGACUUGUUUGGGGGUGGGCAUGUUGGCUUAUGCUAAAAAAUCAACCCAUCAAAGUGGACCACAUGAUUUUCAUGUCUAUCUAAUCAAGUCAUGAGAUCGUAUAGGCCAUAACAGGGGACAAGAAACUGAACCUCUCCAAGUUCAGAUGAAUUUGUUUCUAUUUUCAAUGGGGUUGGUGAAAGCUUGUAGAGUUGUGCAAGUUUGGUGUUUGUAGUCUAGAUCUAUGAGGUAAUGAAAAGACAAUUCGUCUUGAACCCAUUCUGUCCAGGAACGGCCAAUGCACAAGGAAACCUUUCUUGCUGCCUGUCUCUAAUUUUGUAUUGCUAAGUUGUCCUACAGGUCUCUGAGCUAAGUAAAUUAUUUUUA